rnacentral:SRP_RNA from 2 species
CGACGGCCCCUCACGUGGUGUCAUCUCGCUGAACUCCCCCAGGACCGGAAGGUAGCAAGGGUAGGUGGGCUCUGGCAGGUGCGUGAGGGGUCUUCACUUU